UGAAAGAUAAGCUAAUAUUUAAGCUAAUGGGUUCAUACCCCAUGAAUGAGUAAACCUCUCUUUCAA
rnacentral:tRNA from 1 species